AGCCCGGUGGUGGAAUCGGUCAGACACACCUUAUAUCAGAUGGAAGGCGCCCUGUGAUGGGGUAUUGCCGGUUCGAAUCCGGCUCGGGCUG
rnacentral:tRNA from 1 species